rnacentral:rRNA from 1 species
CUACGGAGGGUGCAAGCGUUACUCGGAAUCACUGGGCGUAAAGGAUGCGUAGGCGGAUAAUCAAGUCAAAAGUGAAAUCCUACAGCUUAACUGUAGAACUGCUUUCGAAACUGGUUAUCUAGAAUAUGGAAGAGGCAGAUGGAAUUAGUGGUGUAGGGGUAAAAUCCGUAGAGAUCACUAGGAAUACCGAUUGCGAAGGCGAUCUGCUGGGACAUUAUUGACGCUGAGGCAUGAAAGCGUGGGGAGCAAACAGGAUUAGAAACCCCAGUAGUCC